UCCUAGUCUAAUUUAAUUGGACUUUCGAUCAAUUUCACCUGUCCUAAUCUAGUUUUCGAGCCUUUUGGCUCGAGUUUUGCUCCAUCCGUAUUAAAUUUACAACUUUGACUUCGAGGUCCAAAAUGAAUAAAUAAUGAAAUAAAGGAAUAAAUAAAUACAACAAUAAAUGACUAAAUAAAUAAACAAAUACAUGAAAAAUUAGACUUUCAAGUCUCUUGGCCGCUUCAAAGAUGAACUUUAACUCAUUUUUCUUCUUUCGACUCUUUGUAUCCAUAUGCCAUGUGAUUGUCUUCUGAAUUGUCUUUCAAAAGUCUUCUAAAAAGGAGUGGGCCUCAAUGGCCCAUUGCGCAAUGCAAGAGGAAAGAGUCCCUUUGGACUCACAAACGAGUUCAUGUAAAGAAAAAGAUAAAGGAAUUAAUAUCCAUUCAAAGCACAAAAUGACAUGCUUCAAGGUAAAAUAAAAUAUCAAAAGCUAAUUUUCGAACGACAAUGAUGGGCAUACUCAUGCAUAUAUGAUAAGAAUGAGAGUCAAAAGAUGAAAGGCAGAGCAAGAACACAACUCGAGUAUAUAGCUAAUCAAAGGGAGUAAAAAGACUAAAGUGAGAGUUUAACAUCUCUAAAGUAAACACCGUUUGAGGAUCGCACUAUGCACAAUUCGAAAAUAAAUAAUUCUAAUUAGCCAUAAAAGUUGGAACAAGCCUUUAAGGCACCGAAAAGGGAAAGCACGGAUGUUUUACAGAGAAAAGGGGAAAAGAAAAGGAGAACAAAGAUGAAAGGGCAAAUUAUGAGUUUCAAAUCAACGGAAACUUUUCUUUGAUCACGGCCUUACAAAAUCCUUAAAGGUCUUAGGCCAUGAGCAUGCAUAGGCAAAAAUAUUGUCGAGAUAACUAUAUUCAAACAAGCGACAACUUGGAUUCUACUAAUCAUAGCCAACACAAGGUACCCAAACCCAUUAAACAAGUGAUUCAAAUAUCGAAGAAAUAAUGACGUAGAAGACCGCGCUUAGCAAAUGGUGUUAAAUAACCAACAAGAAGAAAAUUUUCAAUCCAUUUUAAUGAAAUAGUUCUAACAUUGAAGCUUCUAUACCCACAAAUCCUUAGGACCGCUUAUAACAUCUCAAAUACCAUAAGACACAAGCAUAUGUACCAUAGCAAAAAUCUAAGAAACUUAACACAACAUAUUUGAUGUUUUGCACCGAUGUAACAAAAAGAACAGUAGGCAAAGGGUAAUUCUACCACUAGUGCAUAUGAUUACUUUUAUGGCAGGCGCAAAAGAGGAUAAUUUUCAAGCUUCUGAACUCAACUAAACAUCCAAAAAAGUAGCAUUACUCAAACAAAAUCUACCGCCUGUUAAAGUUCAUGGAAAACAGAAAAGGGAUGAAAGCUUGUGUAGAGUAACAACUAACACCAACAAACAAAUCAUUCAAUACAAAAAAAAAUAAAAAAAAAUGGAACGAACAAUUUAUCAAGAGAAGAAACAAUAUGUGGUUAGACUUAAGCAAAAGUUUCGUCUAGUGGCACGGUGAUUCAAAACAAAAUUUAAACUAAGAGAAAAAAUCGAGAAGCUAACCAAAAAACAGUGAGCACAAGACUACGACUAAAACAACGACGUGUUAAAAUAUACUACAAACAAGAUUUUCAUCACGUAAUCUAUGGCCUCAAGACCUAGAAACAACAGCUAAUCCCCAGCAAGCAAAGCUACGACUAUAAAACUACGACUACAAAGAAAGAGGCUAAGAGGAAAACGAUGACAGAACUAAAGAGAAAAGGAAUGUUUACCUCUUUCGGGGGAGCAAAAUGAGACAACGAACUAACGUUGGGAUAUCGAUCACCACCGAAGGACUUUGCCGCGACUACGAAAGCUCCAAAGCAGUCCCGACCCUUCUCCGGGAAAAGAAAAAUUAUACUCCAAUAGAAAGUUAACUCGUUUUUCUCAACUCAGAAUAAUUUUCACCUCCCUUUUUCCCUUUUUUCUUAUGUUUUUUUGCUUCGAAAAAUCCCCCCCUCGGCGCAACAGUGAGCUCCCCUUUUAUAGGAAACCAUUGAGGGUCUCCUCUUAUGUUGGGACGAUGUGGGAAUCCCCAAAAACAAGGGUAAUUUUGGGAACUUAUAAUAGGGAAUUCAAAAUUUGAACUCAAGAUAGCGUUUUCCACCAACAAAUUGUAUGAAUUUUGGGAUUUUUUGAACAAAUUUGAAAAGAUUGGCCAAUAAAAUUGGGGAAAUCCGAAUCAGGACCAAGGACCAAUGAAAUCCCAACAAAUACGUAUGGAUUGUACGAAUUUGACCAUUGGGGAAGCCACCUCGGCAUUUCUAGCAUAUUCUCGAACAAAGCCCGCGUGGGACGCCUGAGGAAAAUUAAAACCAGUUGAUUGCGGGUUGUUGGUAUCGGGUUGCUGUUCGGAUUGGAGGUCGGGUCUGGUUUCGGGUCGGCGUUGAUCGGUUUUUGUGCGUUGUUGUCGAUAUUGUUGUUUGAUCUGUUUGUUGUUGCUGUGCGUUAUUUCCCUUAAAGGAGAAGAUGGAGUAAAGUGGGCCGGAUCAUGGACUGGUUUGGGCUGAAAUGGUUGAAAUGGGUUUUGCUGAAUCAAAAAAGGAUUAGAGGGGUUUGGGCCGAUCCAGAUCAAUUAGUAUUGGGCCUGUUUAUUUCAAAUGCCAUUGGGCUACUGGUUAAUUUUAGGGUUAAAUUGGUAGAUUAGGAAUGUCAAAAUUUUGGGGGUUAUUUAAAACAUAACCCCCAAUUAAAAUUUAGGAUUUAGCCGAUUUUAAUUAAUAUUUGAUCAAAUUGAAAAUUAAAUUGGUCAAUUGAAUUGCAAUUGUGGUCAAUUUGAUUUUAAUUGUGGUCGAAUUUAAUAAAUUGACUAGAUCGAAUCGAAAUUCGAUAUGAAUUAAUACCUCGUUCAAUCCCGAGCUUCUUGAUUUAAUAAACUCA
rnacentral:lncRNA from 1 species